GUGGGAGUGGCCAGGGCGGGCCACAUUUGGGCUAAAGGCCAGGUGAGGGGGCUGGGCGUCCCAGAGGAAUUGGUCUGGGGCAGGUUGGGACUGAGUCGCUGGCAGAGAGAGGGGACCACAGGAGUGUGGGUCCUUCACUCCUAGGAAAGCGCAGGAGGUGAGAGUGGACUUCCUUCUAGGGGUUCAAACACCAAGGGUGGCCUGUGGAGAGAACACAGGAUGGCAGAGCCUUGGAAAGCUAAAAAGAGAAGGAAGGAGCAGCUUCACACUGCGGGACCUCACAGGACACUGCCUUGGCCACGUGGUCAGUGUUAACCUCCCCAGGACCAGGCACAUCUGACCAGCUGCCUCCCGCUGUGACCCCAUGGAAGGACUCAGUGUCAUCUGCAGGAUCUUGUCAGGAACGUACAGCCUGAAUCUGAUCAUGGGAAGUACCAGGGAGACCUCAACAGAGGAAUAUGCUGAAAAUGCUGCGGCUUGUCUUCUUCAAAAUCUUCAAAGUCAUACUGGGUGUGCUGGUGCAGCCUGUCAUCCCUGCAUUCUAGGAGGCUGAGGCAGGAGGAACAGAAGAGGAAGACCAGCCUGGGUGAAACCUUUCUCUUACUACUCCAUUCUCAAGGAGCCAGGACGUCUCCAGCUGAUGUAAUCUUGGCCUGGACUGUCACAGCAUCACCGGAGGUCUCAGCUGUGACCAGAGGCAAAAAUGGAGUUAUGCCUGGACAUGCCAUAGCCCCCCUGCAGGCAGGAAAACAAGGCCUAAACAUAAUUUAAUCUUGCAAUGCUUUUCCCCCAAAGUUAUGUAGACUUGCUCUUGACAUCAACCCAUGUAUAAUUUACUGUGGCAUGCGAGGCUAGAAUCUAACCUUUCUUGAGGCAGUUACCCUGGCCUGACAUUGUUUAUGAAUAACUCAUCCAUUUCACACUUAUUCAGAAUGAAAAUCCUUAUCAUAUAUUACAUUUUCAUUUUUCUCUUUUUUCUCCUGUAUCUCUUAAGAAAGAGGAUCAAGGGAUGGGUGGAGGGCAUAGAGAGGGAAGGGAAAGCAGAUGAAAAAGAAAUUAUGAUCUCUUAUGUACAUGUACCAACCUCCCACAAGGAAUGUAAGCAUUAUGUUCUACACAUAUGUACUAAUACACUAAAAUUUAAAAAUUAUCAUUCAAGAUUAAUAAAAAAUUUUAGUCAUUUGGG
rnacentral:lncRNA from 1 species